GACGAACGCUGGCGGCGUGCUUAACACAUGCAAGUCGAACGAGGUUAUGUGAAGGAAAGCUUCGGCUGGAAUUUAUAUAACCGAGUGGCGGACGGGUGAGUAACGCGUGAGGAACCUGCCUUCUACAGGGGGAUAACGGUCCGAAAGGAUUGCUAAUACCGCAUAAGACCACGAGGCCGCAUGGCCAUGAGGUCAAAGGAGAAAUCCGGUAGAAGGUGGACUCGCGUCCCAUUAGAUAGUUGGUGAGGUAACGGCCCACCAAGUCGACGAUGGGUAGCCGACCUGAGAGGGUGAUCGGCCACAUUGGAACUGAGAUACGGUCCAGACUCC
rnacentral:rRNA from 1 species